UAAAGCGGUACGCGAGCUGGGUUCAGAACGUCGUGAGACAGUUCGGUCCCUAUCCGUCGUGGGCGUAGGAAAUUUGAGAGGAGCUGUCCUUAGUACGAGAGGACCGGGAUGGACAUACCUCUGGUGUACCAGUUGUCGUGCCAACGGCAUAGCUGGGUAGCUAUGUAUGGACGGGAUAAGUGCUGAAAGCAUCUAAGCAUGAAGCCCCCCUCAAGAUGAGAUUUCCCAACUUCGGUUAUAAGAUCCCUCGAAGAUGACGAGGUUAAUAGGUUCGAGGUGGAAGCGUGGUGACACGUGGAGCUGACGAAUACUAAUCGAUCGAAGACUUAAUCAAUAUU
rnacentral:rRNA from 1 species